GUCCCCCCAGAUGUUCCGUCCGUGUCCGCAUAAGCGGAGGCAGGCGAUGACGAGCGCAGGCGAAAGCGGCGCGGGUGGCAAAGCACGACCUGGGCACCCUUGAGUUAUCGC
rnacentral:sRNA from 12 species